UGGAAGCGACUCCAACUUUUGGGGGCUUGGUUUUGGUUUUAUUAUUUUUUUUAGGGUUUUUCUUUUUGCCUGUCAUUAUUUUCAUCUGACAGUGGGCUAAGUUCACCUUCCCUUGGCUUCCUAGCAUCUAUCCUUGGAGUCUUUAACUCUCAGUCCAGCAGACAUAAGGUAUAAUUUCUAUACAACAUCAUCCAUAUUUUAGCAUUCCAAGAAAGGCAGCAGGUGCCAAUUAGGCACCCAUCUUUAUGUUGUUGGUUUUUUUUCUUUUAAGUUUUAUCUAUUUAAGGUGGUGAGGUACUAUAUGCACCGACAUUCGCCCCCCCUUGCUUCCCCCUCCCAUGUAAUGAAGAGCUGAUUCAGCGAAUAGAGUGAGAGAGCACUCAGGAUGAGAUGGCUGCUGCUGAUGUGUCUCUAGGUCAUUACCUCUCUUCCAACUGCAAAUGCUGCAUGAUACUAAGCUUACAGGACACUAGAUGCAACCAGUACACCACCAUGCAAAUCUGCAAGAAGACCUGGGAGGAAGCUGAAGUUUUUACAGUGGAAUACAACUACAAAUUUCAAGAAAACACAAUGGAAAGCUACCAGAAAUUCAACUCUGCACUCAAAUGUGGUCAUUCAGAAUGAACAGCAAGAGGCUGCAAAAAUCUGGAAAUGCAUUUUUAGUGUUCAUACCAUCCCACAAGAAUGAACCAGACCCGGUUUUUAAGCUGCUGUGCAGGUAAAUUGCAUUGCAAAGUUCAGUUAGACUAAGUAGUUUAGUUUCUACCAUUAGUUAAUGAUAACAUUGUUCGUCCAAGAACUGUCAGCCUGAGUUUUACCUACUGACAGCCACGGAAAGCAGCAAAAUACUUUUCAGGUUCAUCUGACAGGUAGUCAAGAAACUCUAUGUGUACCUGCUCAGAGUACAUACUUCUUUAUGUACCCAUAUGAACAUACAAUGCUAUGGAAUGUAAAGAAGUAUGUAUUUUUGGCAGGCACUGAACAACCAGUAAGAGGAAACUAAACAGCUGUUGGAAGAAACAGGUUUCCCUCUUGUUUGAAUGACAUUCAUGUGACAAAUAACUUGCUAAGGGUCAGCUGGUAUUGCCAAAAUAACUCCUACUUGUUAGUAACAAAUCACAAAACAUUAAAUUAAGUGACUACAAAAGUGGGUAGGAAGAAUUGUUAACAGCUGAUAAGCAGAACAUUAGUUGUAAACAAAGAAUUCCAAACAUGGCUGGAAAUGAACACUCAAGAUUGCAGCAUAGCUGCAAAAUUUAUCAUUCCAAUUCUCCUCAAUUAAUAGGUUCUAAACUAAUCUUAAAAGCCUGAUUAUCUAAAUGUAUCUCAUUAAAAACAAACCAUUGUUCUAUUAAUCACAGAUAUUUCCAUGUACUUCAGAUGGUAGCAUUUAAAAUUUCAGCUACCAUAGAAUAUUGAAUCUACAGGUUGCAACUCAGAUGCAAUUAGAUAUAGCUAAGAAAUUAAGGCUGUGAUCUAGAGAAAAGGACAGCCAAAAUAAUUUGAGUAUGAUAACUUAUGCAAUUUAAUAUAUGAGACUUAAGUUAGAAUUUUCUCCAAAUCAGCACUUAUUAUGCUCACUGAGCUUUUCGAUACAAAGUGCAGUGUCAGGUUUAUGCACAGAAAGUGACAAUACAGAGAUUUCUAGGCCACAGCUGCUGGUCAGCGGAUUAAAGCUAUUGACAGAUUUCUAAAUGAAAACACAAAUGACAACUACAACCUAGAAGGUAAGUUACCUUAAAUACUAUUUUCAAAUAAGCUCUGUUUAUUUUAAAUCCAAAUUUAAGAACAUUUGUCAUGAAAAUACAACUUUGUAGCAUCCAGAAAAUUUUAAAACUACAUGACAAAUGUAACAGUUUCAAGUUCUAAACCUGUAUUAAUUUAACUAUACCAGUGCAUACUAUUCUCAAGUAAAGACACUCAACAUCAAACUCAGGAGCAAGGAAAAAUAUGAGGAAAGACCUUCUGGUUCAUCAAUCCAGCCAUUCCUAAUUAUAUCAGAAGUCUUCUAAAAGUAGUUAUUAAAUAGGAUAUGUCCAUGAUAAGUAGGCACAUUUGGUCCAAAUUAAAGAUUUUAACUGUAGCUCUGUGCUUACUAGGAUGUCUGGGAGAGGAAAAAGUUUAUUUAAAAAAAGGCAGAGCACCCAUUUUCAGAUGCAGAAUCUUACUCUUAAAUACUCACAUAAUUCUCAAAUAGCUAAUACUAUAGAUAGCCUUCUAUUUUAAUUAACUGAAAACACAGAAUAACAUUUACAAGAAGAAUCAUUAUCUUAUCAGAACCAUUUCCUUAAGUAAAAUAUUAAUAUUUGUCUAAAGGUUCUUCUCUUAAAGCAGACUACUUUGGCAUGAAGGCUACAGUCUCUUAACAGUUAAAUUAAAACCCAGCUUAUAGCAGGAAACAAAGCAAAUUCAGCAGCUUUUCUAAAUGAAGCAAUGCUACUGAACUUCACAAUCGCAGAAACAAUUUGCUAUUACAAAUAGUUUUGCAGAGAGGUUAAUUGCUAAGCAUUAACUUCUUUUUCUGAGGAGUUCCUGUCCCCACCACCAAUUGAUCUGGCCUCCACUAUAUAAUGAGACCAACUUUUUAACAGCUUAAAUUUAAUUUUAAUGCUUUCUGGUAACAAUUCAUCAUGUUGUGCUCUUUCUUGUCGUCUUCAUAUAACAUUGCAAUGAUAUUCCAAAACAAAAUGACAGUUCAGAGUGACACAAAAGUUAAAAUUAUACGUUGACAUUGCUUCCUGCUAGUUCAUGUUAGCAUAUCUCUAAGAAUACAUAUCCAGUCACUCUAAAAUGUCACAUCCAUCACUUAGAUCAGCUGUUCAGUUUUAACUGAGCACACGUUGAACUUUGGGCAUCUGCUGACACAGUUGUAACUCAGACAUUUCAACUGUGUGACUGACAGGGAUAACAGAUGCUGACAUUAUCAAAUGCUACACGGCUUUUUUUCCAGGGACGUUUUUUGUCCCGAUAUGGCCAGCACAUGAAACUGUAUUGCCAUCCAAAAGUGCACUUGAGCAGCUGUAUCUGUAGAACAGUUCCUGUAUAACUGGUAAAAAUAGAAACUAAUUUUAUAGCCAUCUUUAAUGCUUAAGUCCAAGUGACACACCUGCUAUGUUUCUAUUAGGAUACAUGGUGUUGGGAAUGUAUUUACAUAAAUCUUCUCACCAGCAUCAGACUAUGCAACAAACAGAUGUAGACUGUACACUGACAUACUCAGUACUAGCAAAUGGCUUGAACUAAGGUUGCCCCCUACUUCCCACUGCAGUUAAAAGGUCAAAGAACACAACAUAAAAAAAGCUACGUGAGUACACAACUGUAUUAAAGACCUUAAUUUAGAAGAAAUUGGAUGCAACCCCAGAUAAUUCUUUAAAAGGUGUCCUUUUCUGGCAUUAAUCGCUUGUACAUAUAUGAUCAGGUAAAAAAAAAAAUCUAUUCUGCUAUAUUAUACAGUCAUUCCUAAAAAGUUAAUACUAACCAGAGGUACAGUAAUGGAAUUGAAAGCACUUGACAUUUGUACUUGUGCUAACUCACUAUAGCAUUAAAGCAGCUGCAAAAGGGAACCUGCCAGAAAAUGAAUGGAGGGGGAGUGGGGGGGACAAUGACGGAAACCUUUUCCACCAUCAAGUUAAACAUAGAGUCAAGGGAGGCUCUACAUGAGGAGAGAGUAUAACACUACACUUUACAAUCACUACUCUAGAAUUUCAUUAUUGCAGACAGAAAAAGGUUAAAACUGCAACUAUAAUGUCAGACUCAUCCAAAGAGUCUCAAGAAAAUACUCAAGGGACAAACCAGGAUAUUGUACAGGCCCUUCUGGUACACUGCUUUCCAUUUUGUCUCUACAUCACUGAAGGAAUUUAAAUUUGCAUUGACUAGAAACAAAACAUGUAACAGAAAAAAGCCACAUGUUCUUUGUGAACUGUUCAUGUACUCAAAAAUGCAUUACUGAAUUAUAACUUUCCUGCACUCCAAUGCUUUGCUAAAGCUGGUAAAAUGGAACCAAAUCACCUCUUCAAUGGAUUUGGUCCCCUUCAACCAGCUGUAGCUAUGCAUUGAUCACUACAGGAGUUCUCAUCUUUCCAAACAUUAAGUCUGCUCACAGUAAUUAUACAGUCAUCUCUGCUGUUGAGUUCAAUUAUUCUAGGCAGUUAAAGAUGGAAGGUAACCAGAAGUGUAGUAAAUUCCACAUUCCAAAAUUUCAAGGCUGUAUUUGUAAAUAAACAGCUACUGGUGUUUAAAUAUUCUGUCCAUAUUCAGUGUGAAAAUUGAUCUCUUUUAACAUUUAUAAAGAAUACAGGUAAACAGUGAAAUAAAUACAUUUUGCAAUGA